CUGGCGGCAUGCCUUACACAUGCAAGUCGAACGGCAGCACGGGAGCAAUCCUGGUGGCCAGUGGNGAACGGGUGAGUAAUACAUCGGAACGUGCCCAAUCGUGGGGGAUAACGCAGCGAAAGCUGUGCUAAUACCGCAUGAGAUCUACGGAUGAAAGCAGGGGACCGCCAGGGCCUUGCGCGAAUGGAGCGGCCGAUGGCAGAUUAGGUAGUUGGUGAGGUAAAGGCUCACCAAGCCUGCGAUCUGUAGCUGGUCUGAGAGGACGACCAGCCACACUGGGACUGAGACACGGCCCAGACUCCUACGGGAGGCAGCAGUGGGGAAUUUUGGACAAUGGGCGCAAGCCUGAUCCAGCCAUGCCGCGUGCAGGAUGAAGGCCUUCGGGUUGUAAACUGCUUUUGUACGGAACGAAAAGGCUUUCUCUAAUAAAGGGAGCUCAUGACGGUACCGUAAGAAUAAGCACCGGCUAACUACGUGCAGCAACCGCGGUAAUACGUAGGGUGCAAGCGUUAAUCGGAAUUACUGGGCGUAAAGCGUGCCCAGGCGGUGAAUGUAAGACAUUUGUGAAAUCCCCGGGCUCAACCUGGGAACUGCA
rnacentral:rRNA from 1 species